rnacentral:sRNA from 1 species
CUGACUUCCCAAGGAUAAGACGCCCGGU